GGAUGCAGCCAAUCUAUCUGGAAGGAGCUUAGGGAAUUCUUGAAAAGAUGGAAGAACAAUGUGUAUUGAUUGAGUGAAUGAAUAAAGACCUUAGGUCAUGUAUUUGUACAGCCAAGGCAUUCCUAUGAGUUAGGAAUGGGAACUACAUUACAGGAAAAUCAGCUACAAUAUAGGAACUAAAAUAGGAAAAUAAUAUGUACUGAUUAUCUAUUUCUAUAUAAAGAUAAUGUCAACAUUUAUCUUGUCAACACUCCCCCUCAAGUUGGAGAGUGGAUAUCCUGAACUCCCAACUUGCGAAUCAUAGGGAUGAAACUUUCCUUUCCCAAAGACUUGGUCAGGAUAUCCGCUAGCUGAUGUGUAGAACUCACAUAUCUCGUGAUCACUGAACCGUCUUGAAUCUUGUCUCUAAUGAAAUGGCAGUCCAUCUCAAUGUGCCUAGUCCGCUCAUGGAAAACUGGGUUGGCAGCUAUGUGUAAGGCAGCCUUGUUGUCGCAAAACAAUAGGGCUGCUUCAUGAUGUAUUAGACCCAAGUCUUUCAAUAAUUGACGCAGCCAAGUCAACUCACAGCAGGCUCCUGUCAUUGCGCGAUAUUCGGCUUCGGCGGAAGAAAGGGAAACUGUUUUCUGUCUUUUCGAUCUCCAGGAUAUCAAUGACGGUCCAAGAAACACACAAUAGCCUGUGGUGGAUCUCCUAGUGAGCGGGCAACCUGCCCAGUCUGAGUCACAAUAUGCUCUCAACCUGAAGUCAUUAUUCGAUGAGAAAAAUAGGCCUUGACCUGGUGCACCUUUCAAAUAUCGGACAACCCGAAGUGCUGCUUCCAUGUGAAGCUUUCUGGGCUCAUGCAUAAACCUACUCAAAACAUGCACUGCAUAGGUUAUAUCCGGUCUCGAAACUGUCAGAUAAAUCAAUCUGCCAACCAAUCUUCUAUACUUACUCGGUUCUUUCAACAAAACACCCUGGUCUGAUAAUUUUAAACCUCGUUCCAUAGGAGUGUUAAUUGGGGCAGCCCCCAACAGACCCACAUCCUCAAUAAUUUCCAAAGCAUAUUUACGUUGACAGAUAAAAAUACCCUUCUUGGAUGCAGAAACUUCUAUGCCAAGGAAGUACUUUAGAUUACCAAGGUCUUUAAGAUUAAACUGACUAUGCAGGAAUUUUUUAGUGUCAACAAUGCUAGCAUGAUCAUUUCCAGUUAUUAGAAUAUCAUCCAUAUAUAUCAAAAGUGCAGUAAAGAGCUUGCCUCGUGUUUUGGUGAACAAAGAGUAAUCGGCUCGAGAUUGGAUGAAGCCAGCAGAACACAUGGCCUCCGAGAAUUUUGCAAACCACUGCCUAGACGCCUGUUUCAAACCGUACAACGACUUAUGUAAACGGCACACCAGAUUAUUCUCCCCCUGUCGCUGAAGGCCAGGCGGUGGAGACAUGUAAAUCUCUUCUGCCAAAUCGCCAUGAAGAAAGGCGUUAUUCACGUCCAUUUGAUGCAAGGACCACCCACGGGCUGCAGCUAAGGCAAGCAAGCAGCGCACUGAAAUAAUCUUCGCUGUUGGAGAAAAUGUAUCCUGGUAAUCUAUGCCUUCCAAUUGGGUGAACCCCUUUGCUACCAACCGUGCUUUGUGCCUUUCAACUGACCCAUCUGAUCGGAGCUUGACCUUAUAGACCCAUCGGCAGCCAAUUGGAAUUUUACCAGUGGGAAGUUUGGUAAGAGUCCAGGUGCCGUUAGCUUGUAAAGCCUUCAACUCAGAAGUCAUGGCCUUCUGCCACUCAGGAUGAACAACUGCCUCUGAAUAGGACUUAGGUUCACUGAUGGUGCCGAUUUGAGCAACAAAGGAUCUGUAAUUGGGCAUGUAUCUGUGAUAUGAGAGGUGGUUAAACAGAGGAUGUCGAGUUCCUUUGGUUGGACCCAGCGACAAAGAGAGUGAUUGGUCAGUGUAAACAUUGUUGCAGACGAAAUCCUUGAGCUUGAUCGGUGGAACAGUCUGGCGACUUGAGCGACGGAGAGGAAUAGGGGCAGGAAUGGGGUUAUUUGGUGGAGUGGUGGUUGAUGAGUGCUCGAAUGGUGGAGCUGAAGGAGGUGGCUGUGGGAGUGGUGAAGGUGACGGUGGGUCACGAGGUGAAGGGGACAUGUGUGAUGGCGUCGGUGAAGGAGAGGAAGAUGGUGAAUUUGGUAAAGGUGAGGUAAGGUGAUUUGGCAGGUAAGUGUCUGAUGUGGAAGGAGAAGAAUUGGGCCAAGGGAUGUCACGGGCCAUAAUUGGGAUUGGGCCGGUUUCGGAAAUUUGUGGGCCAGUUUCUGGUGGGUUAAUGGGCUGGACAGAUGCAUAGGGAAAAAUGGUUUCAUGAAAUCUGACAUCGCGGCUAGUAAAAUUUUUUUUAUUUGACAAAUCAAACAAUUUGUAUGCUUUUUGUCCAACGGGAUAACCAAUGAAAAUGGAAGGAAUGGAACGCUGAUCAAACUUAUGAGAAAUGCGCACAUUAGUAGCAUAGGUUAGACAGCCAAAAACACGGAGAUGAGAAAAGGCGGGUUUUUUUGAAAAGAGAAGUUCAAAAGGAGUUUUUAGAGAAAGAACUGGAGAAGGCAAACGAUUGAUUAUGUGGACGGCGGUAAGAGCACAUUCCCCCCAAAAAAGGGUAGGGAGAUGUGCUUGAAAUUUUAAAGCGCGAGCUACUUGUAAAAUAUGACGAUGUUUACGUUCCAGAACCCUAUUUUGUUGCGGCGUGUAGACGCAAGAAUGUUGAAAAACGACCCCAUGAUUUUGAAAAAAAGAACGUAAAGAAAUAAAUUCUCCACCGUUAUCACUUCGAAAUGUUUUUAUUUGAGUUUCAAAUUGGGUCCGAACAAAACUGAAGAAAUUUUUUAAAAGUGAUUGUGCUUCAUUUUUAUGUCGCAUUAAAAAUAUCCAUGUGAAACGAGAAAAAUCAUCCACAAUGGUAAGAAAAUAAUGAGCACCAGUAAGGGAAGGAUGUCGAUAACGACCCCAAAUAUCACAAUGAAUUAUUUCAAAAGGUUUUAUUGAAGAAAUAGUACUAGGACUGAAAGGUAAACGACUCUGCUUUGCCAAAGGACAUAUAUGACAAGCAUUAUUUGACCGAAUUGAAAAUUUUAAAAAAUUCUUGGCAAUGAAACUUAAACAAGGAGAUGAUGCAUGCCCUAAGCGAUGAUGCCAGAGAUCGGUGGAUGAAAUGGUAAGAUUGCAUGUCGGCAGUUUUGUGGGUGGGGAGGCGGUGUUUAUGGUUUUAUUCGUCACAAGUGCCGUUAGAUAAUAUAAGUCGUCUCUUUGUUUACCCAAACCAAUCAUCCUCCUCGUAGCCAGAUCCUGCAAAAUACACCAAUAGGGAAAAAAAGUUAUUGAGCAGUUCAGGCCUCUCGUCAACCGACUAACUGAUAUCAGAUCAACUUUGAAAGUAGGAACACAAAGCACAUUAUGCAGAUAAUAAACAGAGUUCAAAGGUAGCGAUCCUUUGGCGACAAUAUUGACUUUCUCUCCACUGGGCAGCAUUACCGAAUGUAAUGAACAACUUUUAUUUUUACGGAAUAAUUUAAGUGACGAAGAAAUAUGAUCCGUUGCCCCGCUAUCAAUGAUCCAAUCGCGGGAAGUGAUUUUAGACAAACCUGGUUUGGUAACCGCAUUUGCCUGAGAUAUAGAGUCAUCAUUCUUACUAACAAGUGACAAAAGUUGUUUUAAUUGAUCCUCCGAAAUGCGCAUGAACUGGCUGCCAUCAACUUUGGGAUUGGUCUCGGUAAUGCUAUUGGCUGGAGGCCUGGCCCAAGAACUUUCGGCCACAUGAUUCACUGCAGGCCUGGCCCAAGAACUCUCGGCCAUAUGAUUCCCCGCAGGCCUGGCCCUGUUGUUGAAGCUGCGUGAGCCCGGCUGGAAUCUUCCUCUCGGAUGGCCCAUUGGAUAGCCAUUUAAUUCAUAACACGUCUGGACCCAGUGUCCAUUUUCUCCGCAGUGGGAGCAAUUUGGUCGUCCUCUACCUGCGAAAGUCCCCUGUCUCCGUCUGUCUUGGUUGAAACUUUCUGGUUGUCUCUCCUGCGACCGUGGUUCGUGCGAACCGUAUGAACGGUUGAAUCGUCCAUGUCUGGCUGGGUUGGGUCUUCCUCGAACAGCCAUAGCUGCACUGUUGAUGGGUUCAAUUGUGGUAUGCGAUGAAGUGAGGAUUCGCUGUUUCUCUUCCUGAGAAAUUGAAGAAUAUGCCUGCCGAAUUGAAGGAAGAGGAUUCAUGAGGAGGAUCUGCCCGCGAAUAGCACUGUAAGAAUCAUUCAGCCCCAUCAAAAAUUGCAUUAACUUUUGUUGAUCCUGCUGUGCCCCAUGGGUUGUGUUGUCAUAGGAUGCUAAUUCAUCCCACAGUCCUUUCAGUCUGGUAUAAUAGGAAGAAACAGACAGUUGUUCUUGCUUGAAAUAAGCAAUUUCUCGUUGUAUCUCGAAAAUUCGAGGAGCAUUGCUUUGGGAGAAUCUCUCAUUAAGGUCUUCCCAAACCUCAUGUGCAGUAGAGUAAUAAAUCACACUGUUGGAGAUGUCUGGACUGAGUGCAUUGAUAAGCCAUGAAUGCACCAUAUCAUUACACCGAGACCAUGCUGCAUAACCUUCGGGAUCAGUUUCUUCUGAAGGAAUUUUGAUUGAGUUGUUGACAAAACCUAAUUUGUUCUUGGAAUUUAAGGCUAAAGUCAUAGCCCUCUUCCAGGUGGAAUAAUUAUCUCCGUUUAGAGGUUUGGAGACUAAAAUCAGACUUGGGUGAUCGGAGUGAUGAGUAAAGAAAGGAUUUGAGAUGUUUGAUUUUGAGGGAUCUGCAGAGGCAGCAGGAACGGCUGCUUGAUUGUUCAUGCCUGUGUUGGCUGAUAAUUGAUUUUUUUUCUGUGGACAUGGUGAUUGGGAAAGUAGAUACUGGGUAGCCAAUGUAGUGAAGGGAAACGGUGGAUCAAGGAAAGUUAGGAUCUUUGAAUAUGCUCUGAUACCAUGAAAAGAUGGAAGAAGUAUUGAUUGAGUGAAUGAAUACAGACCUUAGGUCAUGUAUUUGUACAGCCAAGGCAUUCCUAUGAGUUAGGAAUGGGAACUACAUUACAGGAAAAUCAGCUACAAUAUAGGAACUAAAAUAGGAAAAUAAUAUGUACUGAUUAUCUAUUUCUAUAUAAAGAUAAUGUCAACAUUUA
rnacentral:lncRNA from 1 species